AGAGAAGUUUAAAGAUUUUUCGAAGAAACCUCUAAGCUGGUUCAGGAAUCAUUUUUUGCUCAGUUAAAAGUUGAAUCCUUUUGUUCUUUUCUUGUUUUUUCACUGAAUAUGGGACCUGGUCUUCAUGCAAUUUCUGUCUCUGCAUCUUUUAGGACAAGUCAAUAUUUCUAAAGUAGUAUAUGUUUGAGAGUAAGACUAGAGAGAUGAUUGUCUACACAACCGAAGGUUCUUUGCCAUUGCAAUUUCUCAGGGAUAAAUUUUUCCCCAUCAGAUUUUUAUCUCUAACCUUUUCUUUCUUCUUUCUUCUUUUUCUGGUAUCCACUACAGGAAGAAGCAAUCUUUAUUUGUGGUCCAGGAAUAAACAAAUGGUGAAGAUAGCCUUUAAGUAGGUGUUUGUUCACCUUUUAUUGUUGUUUUUCCUUUUUUGGGUUUUAAUGAUAGUAUAAGUUCUAAUUAAUUGAGGUUCUGUUUAAUUGAUAGGUGAGAAUACCUUAAACUAGGUGACUUGGUUGAGCAGAUAUUGUGCACAUCCGUAUUUGGAACUCCAUAGCAUGUCAGCUUCCUUAUUUGGCUAUCUAGAUAGACUAUUUUGUAGUGUGAAAAUGUUAUCUUCUUUUGAUGGGCUUUUGAAUAACGAAUCAUUAGUUUCUUUUCAUUGAUUAAUUUUAUAGAUUGAUUACACUUUUGUUGUUAGAGUAAGUUUUACUUGGUAAUAAAUUUGUAUAUUUCACCUUUAACCUUUUGGGUUCAUUUCUUGAACUUCUAUAUUUAUAGGUAUAAACUUGUUGAAAAAAGGAUGAGAGGCAUUGGCAGUGUGAGGAGGGACGUAAAAGAAAAGAAGAAAGGUGUGCGAAAAAGUGCAAGUUGAAAUACUGAUACUGAAAUCAUUAUGGUCAUUACUGUAAUGAUUAAAAUGUUAAGAAAAAGCUAGAGAUUGAGUUUCAAGAAAAGACCCUUGGGUUACUUGGCGCUAAGAUAGGCAUUGGUCAUUUAAGUUUCCUAUUCUUUGGGAAAUUCACUAUUAUUUGACCAUUUCAAUAUUCUUUUACCAUACUAGAGCUACU
rnacentral:lncRNA from 1 species